ACGAGAGAGCAAGCAUCGACUUGCAUGUUUGUUUGUGCCUCGCGCGCGCAAUAGUGUUGUGUGGAAUAAAAGUGUUAAAACACAAAAAUUUGUUUGUGGCAAAAAAGUAAAGUGUAUGUGAAUGUGAGUGUACGAAUGUGCAAAUAAAAAAAAAGCGAAAACAAAGUAACGAGGAGCUACGUUCUCGCAGUCGGGGGCGGCAAACAGCAAAAGUUCAAAUAUCAAAACACAAACCGCAGUUGCUGCCGCAGCCACCGCCGCAGUUGCACUUUGUUGCCGCUAGUCGCAGUCGUCGCUUGUCGCGUUUGACGUUUGUCGGUUCUCCUCCUCGGUCGGCGGCGUAUUUGUUGUUUUUCUUUCGGCAAACUCAACGGCGGAGCAGAACCAGAAAAGAAGGUGGAGCAGAGGCAGGCGUUGCGCGCGUCCGUCGGAGGUGCCAACAGCAAGAGCGAAUGUGUUUCAAUGAUGUUACUGCCUUCGGGGCGUUCGAAUAGUGAUGUCUAUCCGUUACAAAAUGCCAGCACACAAUCGCCCUCAGUGGUGGGCGCGUCCAAGCCUCUGUUACUGACAAGAACAUCAUCGCCACAACUGACAACGUUGCCAAUGUCAAAUGGCGGCGCCAACACCAACGCCAACGCCAUCACCAACUCCAGCGCCAACUCGAGCGCCGCCUACACAACGCUGCUAAAGUCCUCCAACAUCGCGCCACAAGAAACGGCCGGAAGUCUGUCGGAGACCGGAACACAGGCGGCAACGACGACGUCAACGACAACAGCGACGGCAACGGCGGCAUCGACGAUACCAGCAACAACUGUGGACACCAUCAAUUCCGGACUUGGGGUUGCUGGCAUCUAUGGCCCAAUUUUGGGGCAGAGUCAUGCCGGCAGCAUUGCCAUCGGAAAUUGGGGUGAAAUUGAUCGACACCUCGAGGCGGUGCAGGACAAGCUGAAAGCUGGCUGGACCGUGCAUGUGGGCAAGGAAGGCAGACUUUACUACUGCAACCACUUGACGCAAUCAUCUGGCUGGCUGCCUGCUUGUGAGGAUUGGAGCAAACAUGAAGAGCUCACCUACGGUUGGGAGCGUGCCAUAGACUCCAAGGGUCGAUCGUACUACAUCAAUCACUUGAACAAGACGACCACGUAUGAGACACCUGAGUGCAUAAGAUGGGAUGAGCAUCCGCCAGAGCCACGUCUGGUGCUGUUGCUGCGCAGCUCCAGCUUGGGCUUUGGCUUUGUGGCGGGCAGUGAAAGGCCUGUCAUAGUACGCUUUGUGACUGAGGGCGGUCCCAGCAUUGGGAAGCUGCAGCCAGGCGACCAGAUAUUGGCAGUCAACGGUGAGGAUGUGAAGGAUGCGCCCAGGGAUCAUGUCAUACAGCUGGUGCGUGCCUGUGACACUCAGGUGUCUUUGCUCGUCUGUCAGCCCAUGGCGCACUGUGUGAUGCCAGGUCGUAAAUCGACUCUGCUUUCCGCUGGUAAAAGGGCAAAGCUGCGCUCGCGUCCAAGUCGCGUGCGUUUCGCAGAGAGCGUGUGCGUCAAUGGAGCACCAUUGUUUCCGCCUUCGGCCUUUUCGCUGGGCGACAUCUGUGUGCCACCCAUGGCAAAUGUGCUCAAGGUCUUUCUGGAGAAUGGCCAGACCAAGUCGUUUAAGUACGAUGCGACCACCACAGUGCAGGAUGUGGUUAGCUCGCUGCUGGACAAGCUCUGCCUCUGCUGUGGCGAACUCUUCAGUCUGGUGCUGGAGCACGUCAAGAGUCUAAAGCGCAACAAACUCACGCUUCUAGAUCCACAGGAGUCAUUAGCUCGCAUUGCUGCUAGGCCUGGUGCCCACAAGCUGCGCUGCCUGUUUCGCAUCACUUUUGUGCCCAUUUCGGCCGCCGAAUUGGCGCAACGGGAUCUGCAUGCACUCGACUAUCUGUAUUUGCAGUGCUGCAACGAUGUCAACCAGGAACGUUUUGCACCCGAAUUGCAACCAGAGCUGGCAUUGCGUCUGGCCGCUCUCCACAUGCAUCAGCAUGCGUUGGCCAAUAACUUUGCGCCCGCUAAGCUCACCGUUAAGCUGGUCGAACGGGAGUUUGGCCUGGAACGCUUUGUGCCUGUCAGCUUAUUUGAGGGCAUGAAACGCAAGGAGCUGCGCCGCCUCAUUUCACACUUUCUUAAGCUCAACGCGGAGAUGACGGGUUCCUCCAGCAAGGUUCUUACUCAACUGCAGGCGAAACUCCAUUACCUAGAUAUAAUCGCUAGUUUACCAAGCUAUGGCGCCAAAUGUUUCAGCACAAACCAAAGAGAAGGCAUGGAACGAGUUCUGCUGAUCAGUCCGCGGUUCGGCCUGAGUCAAAUAUCCAGUGCUCGCAAUUCAGUGCCACAGCCCAUUUCGGCCAUUGAGGACUUCACACAUGUGGUAGUCCAUCGCGAGGAUGAUGUCACCUGCAGCGUGUCCAUCUAUAUGCUGGGCGAUCGUGCAGUCAAGUUCAUCAUGGAGGAUCGCGAUGCUUGCGAGUUUAGUCUGGUGCUCGGCGGCUACUAUCGACUGUUAACAGGGAACAUACUGAAUGUGCUGCGAGAGCGCGAACCGCACGAGGAUGACAAUGCACCCGCAUUCCUGUCUCAGCACACAGUGUUGCCCGCCGGCUGGAGCUAUCUGCUGCCAUUCCAUACGCGUGCGCACAGCGUCAACUUCCUGAUCACGCCGCCAUAUCAUCCGAUGCCGCACAAGGCGGUGCUCUCGCAACCACAGCCCGCUCAGCCGCAAUCGCUGCCCUACGCCACCGACUUGGAUCUGCACAGCGUGAUGGCCACCGAACUGCUCGAGGAGGCGGCCAAGGACUCUGGGCUGAGCGACAGCAGCGGCAGCAACUAUUGCAGCGAGGGACGCAGUCAACUGGCCGUCGAAGCAAAGAACGAGCAAGUGUUGCGACGUGUGCAGGAGCUACAGCAGCUUGUCCAAUGCUCAGAGCAGUAUCUCAGCGAGCAGGAGCAGGAAUUGCAGCAAAUCCAGCUGCAUCAACAGCACCAGCAACAGCAGCUGGGUCAAAGCGUAGCCAUGCUAGAGUUCGACAGCGACUGCGACAGCCUGAACAGCAGCAAAGUCUCUUCCACGGAGGAGGCCAACAUCAGUCAUCUCGUCAGCGCUGGCUCGCAUGCUUUGAAGCACAGUGAUUCACUGCAGCUGCUGGCUGACACCAUUAGCCAUGAGUUGACGGGCAUCACGCAGGGACUGAAUGCCAUACCGGAGCCGGUGUCUGCCUCGGCACCGCCCACACCCGCCACGCCCAAGCGCAAGCCGAGCUUGUGCAGCACUUCGAGUCCACGACCACAACGCAAGCUCAACGGCUUCAGUCAGCUGCUGAGCGAUCUACAGGCACUCGGCACAGAUUUCUCGCAGAGCGAAAGCGAUUCCGAAUCUGUUGCCUCCCCGGCACAAUCGCCCACCACACGACGGCCACAGCAGCUCAUGCAGUCAGGUGCCAAACAGCAGCUGGCACAGCGCAGUAGCUUUGGACUGCAUAGUCCCGAUGGCACACACUUUGGUGCCGAGACCAAGGAUUAUAAUCUGCGCGAGUAUCUGCAGCAGCUGAAGGAGAUUAGCAAUGUGCCAGCAGCAGAUACGGAUGUGGCUGCUCGCCAGCUCUCCGAGAUAUAUGGCUUUGAGGUGCGCGAGGAUACAUUCAUUGAGACGGACACAGAUUUGAUUGAUUUGCGUGCCAUACCGCCGCCCCAAACGCCCGAUGAGCUGGACUCACUGUCGCUGAUGAAUGCGGCGCCGCCCAAGGGCUUCGAGGGCAAGGCCGAGGAGCUGGAUAGCUUUCUGCAACAGAUGCUGGUGGCACCGCCCACUCAGAAGGCCACGCCCGCCAAGGAAUUGACGCCAGAGGAGAUAAUGUCAUUCAUUAUACCGCCACCACCCAAUCUGGAGGCAGUGCAGCCGGAAACCGAAUGCCUCUACAGCAAUUCGGUGCAGGCGAAGCGUGAGUUUUUCCAAACUGUGGCCAAUGGCAACAGCAACCAUACCAACAACAACAACAACAACAAUAUUAGCAAGGAUCUAUCAUCACACGUCAUUGAGUAUCCCACCGUGGAGCGCAAGAGCAAAUUCAGCUGCUGUCCCACAUCCAACAAGAAGGAAGAGACUUUACCAAUAGAUGAGCAGGCAGCCAUGCAACUUCCAAUGCAACCGCCACCGCGUACACCCACCACGGAGCAGAUGACGCCGCCACCGGCGCGUCCGCCCAAAAGCGCCGAGCUGCUGCAGCGAUAUUCGCCCAAGAAGCAGCUGCGCAUCGUUGCACCCGUGAGUGUGCCAUUUCGUGAGCUGUGUCCGCCACAACUACCGCCCCGUAGCAGCCCAACGGCCAGCUCGGAGCCGUGCACUCCGCAGCCCACGGUGGGCAUAAUGGGAGCUGGAUCAGUGUCAGCGGUGAGUGUGCCCAAGAAACCCCCGUUGCCGCCCAUUGCCAGUCGUCCACGUCCCGUCAAUGGCAUACCCAACGCCAGCACACCCGCCAGCACCAUCACAACAACAAUACCGCCCAUACCGGCCACUGCCCGCCUACCCAAUGCGCAUUCCAAUGGCCAGCCGGCGCUGCCCAAGAAGCCACAACAGCUGCACGGCGAGAAGCUGUUCAUCAAGAACGGCCAUCUUAUCGAUGGCGAAGCGCUGCUGGCCAAAACAGAUGUGGCCAUGGCCGGUCUGCUCAUUAAACUGGAUCAAGUGGCCGCUCAGUGCUCGGCCGCACAGUCGGCUGGCGGCGGAGCCAGCAUCGAUGAGGAAAAAUUCCAACGAGCCCGCAACGAGCUAACAGAACAAACGCUUGCCCUUGUUACGGCUAGCAAAUUCCUGGUGGCCUCCAUGUCGGACAUGACACUGAUAACGCUGCCCGAUCACCUGACCUCCUGCCUGACGGCCAUUAGACGCAUUACCGAGCUGGCCCAGGAUAUGACCCGACACACAUCGGCACCGUUGCAGACGCGCAACAUUGUGCUAAAGGUGCACGAUGUGGCGAGCAGUUUCCGCGAACUGGUUGGCGUACAGAUUGGCCCGAUUGGUGCCGGCCAAUUGGCUCUGCAGGCCGAAUGCCUAGCGAAUGUGUUGGCAACGCUGUUGCGCAGCUUGCGUGUGUUUUCGCCCUAGACCAGAUCCCCAAUAAAUCAAAUCCACGACAUAUCGCUCGCCCGUAUAACUAUUCAACCAUCGAAAUAAGUAAAAGGCAACGUCAGAGAGUCGUUGGUCUGAACUUUUAGACUACGAUAGCUAUACGAUACGUAAACAACACUAAACUCUAGCGGAAACUUGAACAUAACCAAAUCUAUAAGUCGCGUUCAGAUACUUCUAAUAUACAACACAUGCAACCAAAGCAACAUUUGCAAAAUUCUUAAGUAUUUUUUGAUUUCGAUAUCUUUUCUUUUUAAAGUUGCAGAAAAAGCUUAGUAAAACAUAUAUAGUCUAUAUAUUAACGCGACAUUAAAUCACAUAUACAAAAUAAUAAUGAAUAAAGAUUAUCAACUAUUUAAUAUUCUCAACUAACUGCAUGCAACUAACUCGAAUUUCUGUGUAAUCUCCUUAAGUAAAACAAUAACUCAACUUUUUGACUAUUCUAUCUUAUUGUUAGUACCAAUAAACCAUAUUAAGUAACUUCAUGACUUGAUUGUAGACCAAUUUAUAUACAUAUUUAACAAACAAACAAAACAGAAAAUACUAUACCAUAUUAAAUAUUCUUGUGUACAUAUAUACUUACAUAAAACAUAAUACAUACAUUUCAUAUAUAUACUUAUACACAUAGCAAACUAAAAAAAAAAACAAACAAAAAAAAUUAAAAAGAAAAUUGACCAAACAAUAAUCAAAAUUUUAACUUGUGAUAUAAAAAACAAAAAAUUAAUUAAUAAAAAUCCAUUGAUUUGAAUUUGUUUUCCUUAAACCUUAUUAUUUACAAUACUUGACAAGUCUUGUUAAUAUUAAUACACAUACACAUGCAUACGUACAAUAUAAUAAAAUAAUAUUUUUGUUAUUGUUUUAUCAUUAAUUUUUGUUGUAGACUCUCUUGAAUUGAAGUACAAGAACGCACACUAAGUUGUAGCUUUAACUAAUAUAUAAUCGUCUAUUGUUUAUAUUAAUGCAAUAUUAAUUAUUAAUCAAUUAGAUGAAAGAAAUAUAUCAAAAUAUAUAUAUCAUUUAGUAGUGCUAAUCCAGACUAAUAGUGGUUUUGUUUUUAAUCUGUUUUC